GAUUCCCCGCUGUCUUCGUGAUGAUUUGAAGGUACUUGAGCUAACAUUAAACACUAGGGAAUCCUAACUGGUAAAAGCGUGCACGCCCCCCUCGUAGAGGUUUAGGGGACGCAUUAAUUUACCAUACGGACAAACCACCGUAUCUAAAGUUUGGGUUCAAUGUUACUUUGAGUCACACGAGAUAGCGGGGUUUUU
rnacentral:other from 1 species